rnacentral:rRNA from 1 species
GACGAACCGUGCGAACGUUGUUCGGAAUCACUGGGCUUAAAGGCGCGUAGGCGGCCGACCAAGUCCGGGGUGAAAGCCCCCCAGCUCAACUGGGGAAGUGCCUUGGAUACUGGUUGGCUCGAGGGAGGUAGGGGGCCCGCGGAACUUCUGGUGGAGCGGUGAAAUGCGUUGAUAUCAGAAGGAACGCCGGUGGCGAAAGCGGCGGGCUGGAUCUCUACUGACGCUGAGGCGCGAAAGCUAGGGGAGCAAACGGG